UAAUGGACCAUGAACCCCCUUCCACAGUGUGAGAGGAGGCAACCUCUAGCUUCCUCCCCAAACCCAGUGCAAGUGGGGGCCAGGGCUGCCAUAGUUGCUAUUGGUCCUAUUUACCUCCUGUUGUACGUUUGGUACGCCUGAUAUUUUUGUUUAUUAUGCAAAUGAAGCCUGGGGAGACAAAACUGUGACUGCGUGUAUUGUGUUAUGUGAUGCAAUCAUGUGAUGUAUUCCUCUUCUUCACGUGGCCGCGUCACUGGCCCAGCCGCCCUGGCGUCAGUUUGAGUUGCAGUGAUGCAGUUAGCGCUGUGUUCCGGUUACUCGGCGUUGUUUGCUUACUUUUACAAAUCCUUUGUGAACAUUUUGUGUUUUCACGUUGUUUUUGGUGAACCCAUUAUGAGUGAAGAGAAAAAUAUGGUUAUUCGUUCAGAUAGUGAUGAAAAUGAUAAGGAUAACACUCCGAAGAGAAAAAAACAAAAGUGUACAGCUUCUUACGAGAGAAAAUUGCCGUCGAAGUUGUUGACACAUGAAAAAUUUUCUGGCUGGCUAGUAGUUAGUAAAUACAGCUCAGGUAAAGAUUUCUGCAAAUUAUGCAAUUGCGAAACUGCUGGUAGUUUAAGUCAAAUUGAAAGAAAUGAAAACAGAAAAGCAUCAAAAAAACCUAAAAUCUACAAAACAAACUUCAAAAGUAACUGACUUUAUGAAACCUGGUCCAUCCUCUAUUCACUCAGCACAGAUAGCAGCUGCUGAGCUUAAACUGUGUGGAUUUAUUGCAGAACACAAUUUACCUAUAGCCCUUUUGGAUCAUUUGCCUGGCCUCGUUGCAAACGUUUGUCCAGAUUCAAAAAUAGCAAAGGAUAUCAAGUGUGCUAAAACCAAAGGAACAUACAUUUUUUCUAAUGUGAUCAGUGAACAUGACUUCAGUAACCUAGUUUCUAAGUUGAAGGUGACAAAAUUUUCUCUUAUUAUUGAUGACAUUUCUACUAUCAAGCAACUUGUUCUGGUAGCUAGACAUUAUGAUACUGAAGUUCAAAAAACAGUGGACAAAUUUCUAACAUUAGAAAUUAAAGACACAACUGCUCUUGGAAUUUAUAAUUGCAUAGAGGUGUUUUUAAACAGUAAUGAAAUCUCCUUUGAAAACCUAAUAGGAUUUGCCAGUGAUAAUGCUACUGUUAUGAUGGGAAGCAAAGGAGGAGUUCAGCAUCUCUUAAAACAGAAAAUUUCUCAUAUCUUCAUACAACCUUGUGUUUGCCAUUCAUUGUACUUGUGUGCUCCUAAAGCCUGCACUGCACUGCCACAUUAUUUAGAAGAGUUAGCCAGAAAUAUUUUUUCAUAUUUGAGCAAUAGUCCUAAGCGCCUAAAUGAAUAUAAAGAAUUUCAAAAAUUUACAAAUACCAAUCCUCAAAAAAAUAUCCACAUUAGCUACACAAGAUGGCUUUCCCUUGAGCAAGCGGUGAAAAGAAUUUUAGAACAAUGGCCUGCACUUUUAAUGUUCUUUACAUCUGCUGCAUUAGAAGAUGGCAUUCCUAUGGCUUCAAGAAUUCUAGAGGGAUUACAAAAUCCAAUUACAAAAAUGUAUUAUGCUUUCUUAGCUUACAUUUUGCCUGACAUCAAUAAGCUCAAUUUGGAGUAUCAAGCAGAAACAUUUAGAAUUCAUAAGUUAAGGAAUUCUAUUAAUACUAGUGUUAAAGGGAUUCUCAGUAAUUUCAUCAAGCGAGAAAAUUUGAAACCUAAUGGUAUAAGUAAAAUCAAUAUUAAUGAUCCUUCAACAUAUCUCAGGAUAGAUGACAUUUAUUGUGGUGCCACUGUAGAAAGCAUUUACCUGGAUAAUUCAAGAAAAAUUUCCCGGAAAGAAUUGUAAGAAUUUCGAGUAAAAAUUUUAAAUGUCUAUGUUUGCCUUACAAAGCAGAUGUUUCAGCGCUUUUUAUCUUGUGAAUUGUUUGCAAAAUUGGAGUUGCUUAAGGCGUUGGACCCAGCUAAUGUUAUUGAGGGAAGGCCUAAAUCAAUUAUCCCACUAGUUAUGAAAUUUCUAACCUAGUCGAUGAAGAACAUUAUGAACAAAUAAAUAAAGAAUGGAGGGAGCUGACAACGCAAGAUCAACCUCCUAAUGCUGAAAAAAUGCCUGAAAAUUUUUGGUUUAACAUAUCUCAAGAAAAAUGCGGUGACGAAUAUCACUUCUCUCUGUUGUCAAAAUUUAUGAUCAAUCUUCUUUCAUUGCCUCACUCUUCAGCAGCUGCUGAAAGUUUUCUCCUUACUCAACAACAUUAAAGUUAAAAAUCGCGCAUCUCUGAAAACGUCCACCUUAAAGGCGUUAAUAAGAUCUAAAUCUUUACUUCAAGACAUUAACUGCACAACGUGGAAUCCACCAAAAGAGCUUUGUGAUAGAAUGCAACAAAAAAGAUGGUAUAGUAAUGAAGCAGUUGACGAAAAAGUUCUCUUUUAACAAAAUAUAAGAACAACAGCAGAAGAAACAAGAUCACCCAAAACAGGAUCCUCUUUUGCAGUGUUCUCAGUCUGAUUUCUCUCUCUUUGUGGAGUGUCAUCAAAUGAUUGAUAUUUCCUUCUUUUUGCCAGAUCUCUUAAUAGAAGAUACAUUUUUCCUGUAUCAACAAACUUCUCCUGAUAAAUAUCUAAUGUUAGAAGUCACUGAUGCUGUAUAGAAUAUUAAUAAGACCUGUUUUAAAUCAUGGACACCAAGCCUUUAAUUCAACUUCUAAACCAACCAUUAAAAAUUAAAGUAAAUCAUAGCACAAGCUCUAUGAAUAACAUAUG